rnacentral:rRNA from 1 species
CACGUAGUUAGCCGGCGCUUCUUCACCGGGUACCCUCAACCCCACCACCAAGCAGAGCCUUGUCCCCCGACGAAAGAGGUUUACAACCCGAAAGCCGUCAUCCCCCACGCGGCGUCGCUGCAUCAGGCUUGCGCCCAUUGUGCAAUAUCCCCCACUGCUGCCUCCCGUAGGAGUCUGGGCCGUAUCUCAGUCCCAGUGUGGCCGGUCACCCUCUCAGGCCGGCUACCCGUCGACGCCUUGGUAGGCCAUCACCCCACCAACAAGCUGAUAGGCCGCGAGCCAUCCCCCACGAAAAAACUUUCCCACCAGCCAUGCGACCAGACAGGAAUAUCCAGUAUUAGACCCCGUUUCAAGGCUUAUCCCAAAGAAGAGGGCAGGUUACUCACGUAUUACUCACCCGUUCGCCACUAACCCACCAGCACACAGCCAGACAGAGCCCGUUCGACUUGCAUGUGUUAAGCACGCCGCCAGCGUUCGUCCUGAGCCAGGACUCGAAACUCU